rnacentral:tRNA from 1 species
GGAGAGGUGGCCGAGAGGCUGAAGGCGCUGGUUUGCUAAACCGGUUUAGGGACCAAAAUCCCUAACGCGGGUUCGAAUCCCGCCCUCUCCG